rnacentral:rRNA from 1 species
UACGCAGGGUGCAAGCGUUGUCCGGAAUUAUUGGGCGUAAAGGGCUCGUAGGCGGUCUGUCACGUCGGGAGUGAAAACUCAGGGCUUAACCCUGAGCCUGCUUCCGAUACGGGCAGACUAGAGGUAUGCAGGGGAGAACGGAAUUCCUGGUGUAGCGGUGAAAUGCGCAGAUAUCAGGAGGAACACCGGUGGCGAAGGCGGUUCUCUGGGCAUUACCUGACGCUGAGGAGCGAAAGUGUGGGGAGCGAACAGG